AACGAACGCUGGCGGCAGGCUUAACACAUGCAAGUCGAACGCCCCGCAAGGGGAGUGGCAGACGGGUGAGUAACGCGUGGGAAUCUACCCAUCUCUGCGGAAUAGCUCUGGGAAACUGGAAUUAAUACCGCAUACGCCCUACGGGGGAAAGAUUUAUCGGGGAUGGAUGAGCCCGCGUUGGAUUAGCUAGUUGGUGGGGUAAAGGCCUACCAAGGCGACGAUCCAUAGCUGGUCUGAGGGGAUGAUCAGCCACAUUGGGAGUGAGACACGGCCCAAGCUCCUACGGGAGGCAGCAGUGGGGAAUAUUGGACAAUGGGCGCAAGCCUGAUCCAGCCAUGCCGCGUGAGUGAUGAAGGCCUUAGGGUUGUAAAGCUCUUUCACCGAUGAAGAUAAUGACGGUAGUCGGAGAAGAAGCCCCGGCUAACUUCGUGCCAGCCGCCGCCGUAA
rnacentral:rRNA from 1 species